rnacentral:rRNA from 1 species
AGGAAUAAGCACCGGCUAACUCCGUGCCAGCAGCCGCGGUAAUACGGAGGGUGCAAGCGUUAUCCGGAUUUACUGGGUUUAAAGGGUGCGUAGGUGGGUAGGUAAGUCAGUGGUGAAAUCUUCAAGCUUAACUUGGAAACUGCCAUUGAUACUAUUUAUCUUGAAUACUUUGGAGGUAAGCGGAAUAUGUCAUGUAGCGGUGAAAUGCUUAGAUAUGACAUAGAACACCAAUUGCGAAGGCAGCUUACUACACAGUUAUUGACACUGAGGCACGAAAGCGUGGGGAUCAAACAGGAUUAGAUACCCUAGUAGUC